UACGUAGGGUGCAAGCGUUGUCCGGAAUUAUUGGGCGUAAAGAGCUUGUAGGCGGUUUGUCGCGUCUGCUGUGAAAUUUCGGGGCUCAACCCCGAACUUGCAGUGGGUACGGGCAGACUAGAGUGUGGUAGGGGAGACUGGAAUUCCUGGUGUAGCGGUGAAAUGCGCAGAUAUCAGGAGGAACACCUAUUGCGAAGGCAGCUCGCUGGGACGUAACUGACGCUGAGACGCGAAAGCGUGGGGAGCAAACAGG
rnacentral:rRNA from 1 species